rnacentral:rRNA from 1 species
GACGAACGCUGGCGGCGUGCUUAACACAUGCAAGUCGAACGGAAAAGCCCUGCUUUUGUGGGGUGCUCGAGUGGCGAACGGGUGAGUAACACGUGAGUAACCUGCCCUUGACUUUGGGAUAACUUCAGGAAACUGGGGCUAAUACAGGGUAGAUACUACUGCUGCAUGGUGGGGGUUGGAAAGUUUCGGCGGUUGGGGAUGGACUCGUGGCUGAUCAGCUUGUUGGUGGGGUAGUGGCUUACCAAGGCAUUGACGGGUAGCCGGCCUGAGAGGGUGAGCGGCCACAUUGGGACUGAGAUACGGCCCAGACUCCAACGGGAGGCAGCAGUGGGAAAUAUUGCACAAGGGGCGGAAGCCUGAUGCAGCAACGCCGCGUGCGGGAUAACGGCCUGCGGGUUGUAAACCGCUUUCGCCUGUUACGAAGCGUGAGUGACGGUAAUGGGUAAAGAAGCACCGGCUAACUACGUG